AAGAACUUACUUAAUAGGAUCAUUUCUAUAGUAAGUUCUUCACGAGACAAUAGACGAAUGGCGGAUUCCAACCGUUAAGGU